GGAUUCCCCUAGUCAACGGCGAGUGAAGCGGGAAGAGCUCAAAUUUUAAAUCUGGCGUUCUUCGGGCGUCCGAGUUGUAUCUAGAAAAGUGUUUUCCGUGUUGGACCCACCAUAAGUUACCUCGAACGGUACAUCAUAAAGGGUGAGAAUCCCGUGUGUUGGUGGGACGCCCAGGGCUAUGCGAUGCGCUCUCGACGAUCGAGUUGUUUGGGAAGCAGUCAAAAGGGAGGUAAAUCUUUAAAGUAA
rnacentral:rRNA from 1 species